UACGUAGGGUGCAAGCGUUAAUCGGAAUUACUGGGCGUAAAGCGUGCGCAGGCGGUCUGCUAAGAGAGAUGUGAAAUCCCCAGGCUUAACCUGGGAACUGCGUGUGAUACUGGAUGGCUUGAAUCCGGGAGAGGGAUGCAGAAUUCCAGGUGUAGCGGUGAAAUGCGUAGAUAUCUGGAGGAAUACCGGUGGCGAAGGCGGCAUCCUGGACCGGCAGUGACGCUGAUGAGCGAAAGCUAGGGGAGCAAACGGG
rnacentral:rRNA from 1 species